GUCUACAGGCAUGCCACCCUGAACGAGUCAGAUUCCGUCUGAUCUCGGAAGCUAAGCAGGUAUGGGCCUGGUUAAUACUUGGGUGAGAGAUCACCUAGGAAGACCAGGGGCCAUAGGCA
rnacentral:rRNA from 1 species